rnacentral:misc_RNA from 1 species
GAUGAAGAACGCAGCGAAAUGCGAUAAGUAAUGCGAAUUGCAGAAUUCAGUGAGUCAUCGAAUCUUUGAACGCACAUUGCGCCCUGUGGUAUUCCGCAGGGCAUGCCUGUUCGAGCGUCAUUUCAACCCUCAAGCCUCGCUUGGUGUUGGGCCCUGCCCGCCGCGGCCGGCCCUAAAGAUAGUGGCGGCGCCGCCUGGCCCUCAGCGUAGUACUGCUCUCGCUCCAGGGUCCGGCGGCAGCCUGCCAGAACCCCCCAACUCUGUGGUUGACCUCGGAUCAGGUAGGGAUACCCGCUGAACUUAAGCAUAUCAAUAAGCGGAGGA